CCCACAAAGUGGGGUCUCAUAGCCCUUAAGGUUUUAUGAAUCUAUUUCAACGCUCAAAUUUAAUGAACGAAUGAGAUGAAUUCACACAGCUGCAGCAGACGAAGUAGUUUCACACUUACAGAAUAAACCAAACUAUGACAACUAAUUGAAAUAAACGAAAUUUGGAUUCAAAUGAGGAGUUGACACCAUAAUAACAGUUAAACCAUAUAAGCGAAAAACAACCACUCGAAAUUGACUUCUACUAGCUGAAAAUAAUCAAAUAUAUCACACCAUCGCGAACAGAUUUAGUCGGCAAGAAGUUCGAUCAUAACACAAACAAAACACCCUAGAUUGAAUCACAUAGUUCAAAAUACUGAAACGAAACAUAAUCGCAAGAACAGAGAGAUGAAGACUGAACCUGAAAUUUCGAACUUCUUUUGAUAACAGAAUCGAAGGCAAUUACACAGUUUCGACUCCAAAACUAACACAAGGUCAAAAUGGCAAAUCAAAGCUCGAAGAACAGCAAAUCAGUAGCAGCCGAGCAGAAACAAGAGGUUCGAGCAGCGACGAACUCAGUAAUUCUCAAACGAACUCCAUAUUUCAAAUGAACUCCAGCCCCGAAAGAAGGAACGACAUAUAUUUUUUGAUGUAAUUAAAAUCUAAAAACAGAUUUAAAGAGUCAUGAACAUUUUUAUAUCUCUUUUCUAAUUCUAGAUUUAAACUCAAAUUUCCAUCGAGAAGAAGAACCCCGACUGUUGUUUUCACCCUUAGUUUUUAUGCUCAAAAGUUGUUUUCUCCCCGUCCAAAAAAAAACCCCCUCCUAUACAAAAGAAAGACCUCACCUUAUACCCAAACCUAGAAGCUUCUCAAAAUCCGCAAAUAUUCCCCUCUAGAAUGAAUUCGGACAGAUGGAGAGAGGGGAUCGAUUCAAAAUCAAUCCACGGUCCCUAUUUUUCUCAAUUCAUUCUCAAAGGCAGAUGGGAGACGAAAACUUGUCAGAGACCGUUAGAAUAUUCGGUGACGUGGAGAGAUGGAGAGUGCGUGUGGUGAAUUCAAGCUCACUCGCCUGAAAUUUGGCGAGUUUGGACGCAGCCCUGAAGGGGAGAAGAGAGUGAAUAGUAACGAGCGAGGGAUUAGGGGUUU
rnacentral:lncRNA from 1 species